UACGUAGGGUGCAAGCGUUGUCCGGAAUUAUUGGGCGUAAAGAGCUCGUAGGCGGUUUGUCGCGUCUGCUGUGAAAACCCGAGGCUCAACCUCGGGCCUGCAGUGGGUACGGGCAGACUAGAGUGAUGUAGGGGAGACUGGAAUUCCUGGUGUAGCGGUGAAAUGCGCAGAUAUCAGGAGGAACACCGAUGGCGAAGGCAGGUCUCUGGGCAUUAACUGACGCUGAGGAGCGAAAGCAUGGGGAGCGAACAGG
rnacentral:rRNA from 1 species